rnacentral:rRNA from 1 species
UACGGAGGGAGCUAGCGUUGUUCGGAUAUACUGGGCGUAAAGCGCACGUAGGCGGCGUAGUAAGUCAGGGGUGAAAUCCCGGAGCUCAACUCCGGAACUGCCCUUGAAACUGCAAUGCUAGAAUCUUGGAGAGGCGAGUGGAAUUCCGAGUGUAGAGGUGAAAUUCGUAGAUAUUCGGAAGAACACCAGUGGCGAAGGCGGCUCACUGGUCCGGUACUGACGCUGAGGUGCGAAAGCGUGGGGAGCAAACAGG